rnacentral:guide_RNA from 1 species
AUAAAUCCAACAAGUAUGAAGACACGUAAAAUAGUAAAUGAAAAUUAU